CGUAGGAGGCGAGCGUUAUCCGGAUUCACUGGGCGUAAAGCGCGUGCAGGUGGUUCGGUAAGUUGGGCGUGAAAUCUCCCGGCUCAACUGGGAGAGGUCGUUCAAUACUACCGAACUUGAGAGCAGAAGAGGAAGAUGGAAUUCCCGGUGUAGUGGUGAAAUGCGUAGAUAUCGGGAGGAGCACCAGUGGCGAAGGCGAUCUUCUGGUCUGUUUCUGACACUCAGACGCGACAGCUAGGGUAGUAAACGGGAUUAGAGACCCCGGUAAUCCUAGCCGUAAACGAUGUGAACUUGGCGUUGGUGGGUUAAACUCCAUCAGUGCCGAAGCAAACGCGAUAAGUUCACCGCCUGGGGACUACGGCCGCAAGGUUA
rnacentral:rRNA from 1 species